rnacentral:rRNA from 1 species
CCUACGGGAGGCAGCAGUAGGGAAUCUUCGGCAAUGGACGAAAGUCUGACCGAGCAACGCCGCGUGAGUGAAGAAGGUUUUCGGAUCGUAAAACUCUGUUGUUAGAGAAGAACAAGGACGUUAGUAACUGAACGUCCCCUGACGGUAUCUAACCAGAAAGCCACGGCUAACUACGUGCCGGCAGCCGCGGUAAUACGUAGGUGGCAAGCGUUGUCCGGAUUUAUUGGGCGUAAAGCGAGCGCAGGCGGUUUCUUAAGUCUGAUGUGAAAGCCCCCGGCUCAACCGGGGAGGGUCAUUGGAAACUGGGAGACUUGAGUGCAGAAGAGGAGAGUGGAAUUCCAUGUGUAGCGGUGAAAUGCGUAGAUAUAUGGAGGAACACCAGUGGCGAAGGCGGCUCUCUGGUCUGUAACUGACGCUGAGGCUCGAAAGCGUGGGGAGCAAACAGGAUUAGAUACCCUGGUAGUCCACGCCGUAAACGAUGAGUGCUAAGUGUUGGAGGGUUUCCGCCUUCAGUGCUGCNGCAACGACAUAGACGACUCCGCCGUCGGGGAGGUACGGACCGGCCGUAAGGUUAGUUAAACGUUACGUAAAGUUAGUUAAGUUAGACGGCGUUGAGACGUUGCCGACGGACGACGACGAGGGGAGGAGG